rnacentral:rRNA from 1 species
UGGGGGAUAUUGGACAAUGGGGGGAACCCUGAUCCAGCGACGCCGCGUGAGUGAAGAAGUAUCUCGGUAUGUAAAGCUCUAUCAGCAGGGAAGAAGAAAUGACGGUACCUGAGUAAGAAGCCCCGGCUAACUACGUGCCAGCAGCCGCGGUAAUACGUAGGGGGCAAGCGUUAUCCGGAAUUACUGGGUGUAAAGGGAGCGUAGACGGUGAUGUAAGUCUGGAGUGAAAGGCGGGGGCCCAACCCCCGGACUGCUCUGGAAACUAUGUGACUGGAGUGCAGGAGAGGUGAGCGGAAUUCCUAGUGUAGCGGUGAAAUGCGUAGAUAUUAGGAGGAACACCAGUGGCGAAGGCGGCUCACUGGACUGUAACUGACGUUGAGGCUCGAAAGCGUGGGGAGCAAACA